rnacentral:rRNA from 1 species
UCGAGCGGAUGACGGGAGCUUGCUCCUUGAUUCAGCGGCGGACGGGUGAGUAAUGCCUAGGAAUCUGCCUGGUAGUGGGGGACAACGUUUCGAAAGGAACGCUAAUACCGCAUACGUCCUACGGGAGAAAGCAGGGGACCUUUGGGCCUUGCGCUAUCAGAUGAGCCUAGGUCGGAUUAGCUAGUUGGUGGGGUAAUGGCUCACCAAGGCGACGAUCCGUAACUGGUCUGAGAGGAUGAUCAGUCACACUGGAACUGAGACACGGUCCAGACUCCUACGGGAGGCAGCAGUGGGGAAUAUUGGACAAUGGGCGAAAGCCUGAUCCAGCCAUGCCGCGUGUGUGAAGAAGGUCUUCGGAUUGUAAAGCACUUUAAGUUGGGAGGAAGGGCAGUAAGUUAAUACCUUGCUGUUUUGACGUUACCGACAGAAUAAGCACCGGCUAACUCUGUGC